AAUACAAGGCAUACGGCUCAGUAACGCGUAGUCAAUCUAACCUAUGGACGGGAAUAACCUCGGGAAACUGAGAAUAAUGCCCGAUAGAACAUUAUGCCUGGAAUGGUUUAUGUUCCAAAUGAUUUAUCGCCGUAGGAUGGGACUGCGGCCUAUCAGUUUGUUGGUGAGGUAAUGGCCCACCAAGACUAUUACAGGUACGGGCUCUGAGAGGAGUAGCCCGGAGAUGGGUACUGAGACACGGACCCAGGCCCUAUGGGGCGCAGCAGGCGAGAAAACUUUGCAAUGUGCGAAAGCACGACAAGGUUAAUCCGAGUGGUUUCUGCUAAAGAAACCUUUUGUCAGUCCUAGAAACACUGAUGAAUAAGGGGUGGGCAAGUUCUGGUGUCAGCCGCCGCGGUAAAACCAGCACCUCAAGUGGUCAGGAUGAUUAUUGGGCCUAAAGCAUCCGUAGCCGGCUCUGUAAGUUUUCGGUUAAAUCUGUACGCUCAACGUACAGGCUGCCGGGAAUACUGCAGAGCUAGGGAGUGGGAGAGGUAGACGGUACUCGGUAGGAAGGGGUAAAAUCCUUUGAUCUAUUGAUGACCACCUGUGGCGAAGGCGGUCUACCAGAACACGUCCGACGGUGAGGGAUGAAAGCUGGGGGAGCAAACCGGAUUAAAUACCCGGGUAGUCCCAGCU
rnacentral:rRNA from 1 species